rnacentral:pre_miRNA from 1 species
UAUGUAUGUGUACAUGUGUAUAUAUUGUACGUGUAUGACAUAUUAUAUAUGUAUAUUAUAUACAUCAUUUUUC